rnacentral:rRNA from 1 species
GAUGAACGCUGGCGGCGUGCCUAAUACAUGCAAGUCGAGCGAACAGACGAGGAGCUUGCUCCUCUGACGUUAGCGGCGGACGGGUGAGUAACACGUGGAUAACCUACCUAUAAGACUGGGAUAACUUCGGGAAACCGGAGCUAAUACCGGAUAAUAUAUUGAACCGCAUGGUUCAAUAGUGAAAGACGGUUUUGCUGUCACUUAUAGAUGGAUCCGCGCCGCAUUAGCUAGUUGGUAAGGUAACGGCUUACCAAGGCAACGAUGCGUAGCCGACCUGAGAGGGUGAUCGGCCACACUGGAACUGAGACACGGUCCAGACUCCUACGGGAGGUAGCAGUAGGGAAUCUUCCGCAAUGGGCGAAAGCCUGACGGAGCAACGCCGCGUGAGUGAUGAAGGUCUUCGGAUCGUAAAACUCUGUUAUUAGGGAAGAACAAAUGUGUAAGUAACUAUGCACGUCUUGACGGUACCUAAUCAGAAAGCCACGGCUAACUACGUG